CACCACGUGGUUUGACAGUUUCGACGCCUCAAGCGGAAUCCGUGGCGCAGCAGGUUCAGCCGGCUGCGCUGGCGUUGUCACCUCUUCUUUCGCCGCCAGCAUGCGAUCGAGCAGCGCGAAGAACAGUGGGUUCAACAUGAUCGAGAUGAUCGCGCCGGCCAGCACCAGAUCGCGGCCGCGAUCCGGCAACAGUGCGAGGCUGACGCCGAGACUGACGAGAAUGAAGGAAAACUCGCCGAUCUGGGCGAGGCUCGCCGAAAUCGNNNNNNGGUCGAUGUCGGAUAUCCGAACAUGCGCACGAUGCCGAACGCCGCGACGGAUUUGCCGAAG
rnacentral:misc_RNA from 1 species